CAAGAAGUAGUUUAAGUAGAAUAUCAACUUUGGGUGUUGAUGGUGGGGGUUGGUCCUUCCUUCUUGA
rnacentral:tRNA from 1 species